GACAGAGGAUGCAAGCGUUAUCCGGAAUGAUUGGGCGUGAAGCGUCUGUAGGUGGCUUUUCAAGUCCGCCGUCAAUCCCAGGGCUCAACCCUGGACAGGCGGUGGAAACUACCAAGCUGGAGUACGGUAGGGCAGAGGGAAUUCCGGUGGAGCGGUGAAAUGCAUUGAGAUCGGAAAGAACACCAACGGCGAAAGCACUCUGCUGGGCCGACACUGACACUGAGAGACGAAAGCGUAGGGGAGCAAAUGGGAUUA
rnacentral:rRNA from 1 species